AUCUCCGUUGGUGAACCAGCGGAGGGAUCAUUACAGAGUUGCAAAACUCCCAAACCAUUGUGAACGUUACCUAUCCCGUUGCUUCGGCGGGCGGCCCGGGCCCCGCGCCCGGCGCCCCCCGGCCCCCCGUGGGCGCCCGCCGGAGGUAAACCAAACCCUUGAAUUGCAUGGCCUCUCUGAGUCUUCUGUACUGAAUAAGUCAAAACUUUCAACAACGGAUCUCUUGGUUCUG
rnacentral:misc_RNA from 1 species